UACACCAUUUAGAUUUUUGUUGCAACCAC
rnacentral:ncRNA from 2 species